rnacentral:rRNA from 1 species
CUGUAAGCCUGUGAAGGUGUGCUGUGAGGCAUGCUGGAGGUAUCAGAAGUGCGAAUGCUGACAUAAGUAACGAUAAAGCGGGUGAAAAGCCCGCUCGCCGGAAGACCAAGGGUUCCUGUCCAACGUUAAUCGGGGCAGGGUGAGUCGACCCCUAAGGCGAGGCCGAAAGGCGUAGUCGAUGGGAAACAGGUUAAUAUUCCUGUACUUGGUGUUACUGCGAAGGGGGGACGGAGAAGGCUAUGUUGGCCGGGCGACGGUUGUCCCGGUUUAAGCGUGUAGGCUGGUUUUCCAGGCAAAUCCGGAAAAUCAAGGCUGAGGCGUGAUGACGAGGCACUACGGUGCUGAAGCAACAAAUGCCCUGCUUCCAGGAAAAGCCUCUAAGCAUCAGGUAACAUCAAAUCGUACCCCAAACCGACACAGGUGGUCAGGUAGAGAAUACCAAGGCGCUUGAGAGAACUCGGGUGAAGGAACUAGGCAAAAUGGUGCCGUAACUUCGGGAGAAGGCACGCUGAUAUGUAGGUGAAGUCCCUCGCGGAUGGAGCUGAAAUCAGUCGAAGAUACCAGCUGGCUGCAACUGUUUAUUAAAAACACAGCACUGUGCAAACACGAAAGUGGACGUAUACGGUGUGACGCCUGCCCGGUGCCGGAAGGUUAAUUGAUGGGGUUAGCCGCAAGGCGAAGCUCUUGAUCGAAGCCCCGGUAAACGGCGGCCGUAACUAUAACGGUCCUAAGGUAGCGAAAUUCCUUGUCGGGUAAGUUCCGACCUGCACGAAUGGCGUAAUGAUGGCCAGGCUGUCUCCACCCGAGACUCAGUGAAAUUGAACUCGCUGUGAAGAUGCAGUGUACCCGCGGCAAGACGGAAAGACCCCGUGAACCUUUACUAUAGCUUGACACUGAACAUUGAGCCUUGAUGUGUAGGAUAGGUGGGAGGCUUUGAAGUGUGGACGCCAGUCUGCAUGGAGCCGACCUUGAAAUACCACCCUUUAAUGUUUGAUGUUCUAACGUUGACCCGUAAUCCGGGUUGCGGACAGUGUCUGGUGGGUAGUUUGACUGGGGCGGUCUCCUCCUAAAGAGUAACGGAGGAGCACGAAGGUUGGCUAAUCCUGGUCGGACAUCAGGAGGUUAGUGCAAUGGCAUAAGCCAGCUUGACUGCGAGCGUGACGGCGCGAGCAGGUGCGAAAGCAGGUCAUAGUGAUCCGGUGGUUCUGAAUGGAAGGGCCAUCGCUCAACGGAUAAAAGGUACUCCGGGGAUAACAGGCUGAUACCGCCCAAGAGUUCAUAUCGACGGCGGUGUUUGGCACCUCGAUGUCGGCUCAUCACAUCCUGGGGCUGAAGUAGGUCCCAAGGGUAUGGCUGUUCGCCAUUUAAAGUGGUACGCGAGCUGGGUUUAGAACGUCGUGAGACAGUUCGGUCCCUAUCUGCCGUGGGCGCUGGAGAACUGAGGGGGGCUGCUCCUAGUACGAGAGGACCGGAGUGGACGCAUCACUGGUGUUCGGGUUGUCAUGCCAAUGGCACUGCCCGGUAGCUAAAUGCGGAAGAGAUAAGUGCUGAAAGCAUCUAAGCACGAAACUUGCC